UGUACUGAUUCUGCUCUAGUUUGUAGUGCGGUUUUCUUGUACUGAUUCUGCUCUAGUUUGUAGUGCGGUUUUCUUGUACUUGUUGUUAUUAUUAUUAUUAUUAUUAUUAUUAUUAUUAUUAUUAUUAU
rnacentral:lncRNA from 11 species